AUCCCCGGCGCCACUGUGAUCG
rnacentral:miRNA from 1 species